CCUACGGGAGGCAGCAGUGGGGAAUAUUGCACAAUGGGGGAAACCCUGAUGCAGCGACGCCGCGUGAGUGAAGAAGUAUUUCGGUAUGUAAAGCUCUAUCAGCAGGGAAGAAAAUGACGGUACCUGAAUAAUAAGCCCCGGCUACCUCCGUGCCAGCAGCCGCGGUAAUACGUAGGGGGCAAGCGUUAUCCGGAUUUACUGGGUGUAAAGGGAGCGUAGACGGCAGUGCAAGUCUGGAGUGAAAUGCGGGGGCUCAACCCCCGGACUGCUCUGGAAACUGUAAGGCUGGAGUGCAGGAGAGGUAAGCGGAAUUCCUGGUGUAGCGGUGAAAUGCGUAGAUAUCAGGAGGAACACCAGUGGCGAAGGCGGCUUACUGGACUGUAACUGACGUUGAGGCUCGAAAGCGUGGGGAGCAAACAGGAUUAGAUACCCUAGUAGUC
rnacentral:rRNA from 1 species